GGGGCGGUAGCUCAGUUGGUUAGAGCAGCGGACUCAUAAUCCGUCGGUCGCGGGUUCGAGCCCCGCCCGCCCCA
rnacentral:tRNA from 1 species